rnacentral:rRNA from 1 species
GAUGAACGCUGGCGGCGUGCCUAAUACAUGCAAGUAAAACGCUGAAGGAGGAGCUUGCUCUUCUGGAUGAGUUGCGAACGGGUGAGUAACGCGUAGGUAACCUGCCUGGUAGCGGGGGAUAACUAUUGGAAACGAUAGCUAAUACCGCAUGACAACAGUUAUUGCAUGAUAACUGUUUAAAAGGGGCAACUGCUCCACUACCAGAUGGACCUGCGUUGUAUUAGCUAGUUGGUGAGGUAACGGCUCACCAAGGCGACGAUACAUAGCCGACCUGAGAGGGUGAUCGGCCACACUGGGACUGAGACACGGCCCAGACUCCUACGGGAGGCAGCAGUAGGGAAUCUUCGGCAAUGGACGGAAGUCUGACCGAGCAACGCCGCGUGAGUGAAGAAGGUUUUCGGAUCGUAAAGCUCUGUUGUAAGAGAAGAACGAGUGUGAGAGUGGAAAGUUCACACUGUGACGGUAUCUUACCAGAAAGGGACGGCUAACUACGUG